GUGAACGCUGGCGGUAGGCCUAACACAUGCAAGUCGAACGGCAGCACAGUAAGAGCUUGCUCUUACGGGUGGCGAGUGGCGGACGGGUGAGGGAUACAUCGGAAUCUACUUUUUCGUGGGGGAUAACGUAGGGAAACUUACGCUAAUACCGCAUACGACCUACGGGUGAAAGCAGGGGAUCUUCGGACCUUGCGCGAUUGAAUGAGCCGAUGUCGGAUUAGCUAGUUGGCGGGGUAAAGGCCCACCAAGGCGACGAUCCGUAGCUGGUCUGAGAGGAUGAUCAGCCACACUGGAACUGAGACACGGUCCAGACUCCUACGGGAGGCAGCAGUGGGGAAUAUUGGACAAUGGGCGCAAGCCUGAUCCAGCCAUACCGCGUGGGUGAAGAAGGCCUUCGGGUUGUAAAGCCCUUUUGUUGGGAAAGAAAAGCAGCAGGUUAAUACCCCGCUGUUCUGACGGUACCCAAAGAAUAAGCACCGGCUAACUUCGUG
rnacentral:rRNA from 1 species